rnacentral:lncRNA from 1 species
AUGGUGGAAGGGUAUCACAGAGGAAAGCUGCUCACCCCAUGGCAGCCAAGGGACAGAGAGAGAAGCUGGGCUGGUGAGCUUCUUCCUUCUUCUUUUGUUCCUUCUGGGCCCUCACCCAAUUGGAAGGUGCCACCACACUCAGGGCAGGUCCCCUCACAGUUUGCAGUCCUACAUGCCAGUCAUCCCCAGAAACGUUCUCACAGACACACCCUGAAGUGUGCGUUUCUAAUUUCUCAGGUGUUUCAUAAUGCAGUCAAGUGCACAGUCGAGAAGAAGAAAACAAUGAACAGUAUGUACAGUAUUAAAGAGCCUGGACUAGACCAGAAGACACCUGAAUUUUCAAAUGGUGCCUUUGCCCCCUCUUCUUUGUUCGAUGCUCUUUCUGCAGGUUUCUGUUCCAGGCUAACUCUGGACUACAAGCUCAAAAGCAGCCUGGACCUCAGGAAAUGGAUCUGGAGGACUAGCAGGGUCCAAAAUCUCCAGGUCAUCAGAUGUGGCAAACUCCUUUCUUGAGCUGAGAUACCCAUCGUCUAUCACCAUCUGACACUGGAGCUCCUGCUUCGUGGGGCUCUGGAUCCUGGGACCUCUCCAGCAGCUCCUCACCUCUAUCCCUAGCCUGGUGAGGCCCUUGGACUCUGAAACAUGGCCCAGGCUUUCUGGGUUUAUCAACUUGCAGAUCGUAAACUGUGGGACUUCAUAAUCGUGUGAGCCAAUUCCCAUCACAAAUCUCCUCCGACAGAAUCUAUAUACAUCCUACUGGUGGUGUUUCUCUGUGGAACCUUGACUAAUAUGGACUCUGGCAUGUAAAAAUCAUCAUUAACUAGACUCUAUCUACUUCAACUUCAACUGGAGUAAAGUCUAAAUAUGCCCAU